rnacentral:rRNA from 1 species
AGUGGCGAACGGGUGAGUAUCACGUGAGCAACCUGCCCCGAAGAUUGGGAUAACACCGGGAAACCGGUGCUAAUACCGAAUACCCUCCACACAUCGCAUGAUGAGUAGAGGAAAUGUUUUUUCGCUUCGGGAGGGGCUCGCGGUCCAUCAGCUUGUUGGCGGGGUAAUGGCCCACCAAGGCAACGACGGAUAGCUGGUCUGAGAGGACGAUCAGCCGCACUGGAACUGAGACACGGUCCAGACUCCUACGGGAGGCAGCAGUGGGGAAUCUUGCGCAAUGGACGAAAGUCUGACGCAGCAACGCCGCGUGAGGGACGAAGGCUUUCUGAGUUGUAAACCUCUUUCGACAGGAACGAUUGUGACGGUACCUGUAGAAGAAGCACCGGCCAACUAUGUGCCAGCAGCCGCGGUGAUACAUAGGGUGCAAGCGUUAUUCGGAUUUAUUGGGCGUAAAGAGCUCGUAGGCGGUUCAAUAAGUCACGUGUUAAUCCCCCAGGCUCAACCUGGGGCCGCCACGUGAAACUGUUGUGACUAGAGUUUGGUAGGGGAUCACGGAAUUCCUGGUGUAGCGGUGGAAUGCGCAGAUAUCAGGAGGAACACCAGUAGCGAAGGCGGUGAUCUGGGCCAAUACUGACGCUGAGGAGCGAAAGCGUGGGGAGCGAACAGGAUUAGAUACCCUGGUAGUCCACGCCGUAAACGGUGGGCACUAGGUGUGGGGACUUUUCAACGGUUUCCGCGCCGCAGCUAACGCAUUAAGUGCCCCGCCUGGGGAGUACGGUCGCAAGACUAAAACUCAAAGAAAUUGACGGGGGCCCGCACAAGCAGCGGAGCAUGUGGCUUAAUUCGAUGCAACGCGAAAAACCUUACCUAGAUUUGACAUGCUGGGAAAAGCCACAGAGAUGUGGUGUCCUUCGGGGCCCAGCACAGGUGGUGCAUGGCUGUCGCCAG